GCAGUGGUGGUUCAGUGGUAGAGUUCUUGCCUUCCACGCAAGGAGACCCAAGUUCAAGUCCCAGUCAAUGCA
rnacentral:tRNA from 1 species